rnacentral:rRNA from 1 species
AUGGAAUACAUGGCAAAGAAGAUAGAGAAAGCAAAGAAGCACACUGUUAGACUCAUAGGGAAUCAAGAAAGGAGGUAUGAGGUUCAGCUUCCUACCGAUGGUUUUGGUUCUGGAAAUAAGGUGAAGACACACGAGGUAAAAAUUGGAACGGAAUUUUAUCCAACGUGUGAGUGUACAUGCAACAAACCGAAGUUGUUGCACCUACCUUGCUCUCAUGUGUUGGCUGCCUGUGGCCAGAUUGAGUUGGAUGCUAUAUCCUUCGUGUCCCCAUACUAUUUAAAAGAGGCAGUGCUCAACACCUGGACAGGCGAGAUGACAGGGUUUAGAGUCGUCGGCAAUUUCAACAAGGUAAACAACGGUGAGAGAGUAUACAUCCCGCAUCCAGACCUUCAGCGAACAAGUAGGGGCAGACGAAAGGCCCGACUGCUAGGGCCAUAG